CUGCUAGUGAUGUGUGUGUGUGUACUUUGACAGUUUGUCUGCUAGUGAUGUGUGUGUGUGUACUUUGACAGUUUGUCUGCUAGUGAUGUGAGUGUACUUUGUCUGUUUGUCAGUGUGACGUGUGUCACUACAACCGAUGGACAAGAUCUGAUGCAUUCUCUCUCGCUUGGCCAUUAUCAGCACCCCCUGAUAAAGACAUCUUCCCUUGGCCAUGAUUUGGCAUUCUAGUUAAGAAACAGCAGGUGAUGAGACUGAAACUGACCCCAAAGGACCCAAACAUGGACCUGAAUGAUCCAUCUUUGCAGUAGGCCAUCUUGCAGCAGCUGAGGGAGAAGUCUGAUCCUUCCCUCACACUGAGAUGGACGGAACAGCCUGAUGGAAAGAUCUUCCACAAAGAAAAAAAUGAGUAGAAAAACGAUUGCAUGUCUGUUAUGUAUACUUAAAUAACUGCUACUGUAUUGUUUACCUUUAUUUAACCAGGUAAACCUUUUGAGGACCUUUUUUAUUUACAAUGACAACCUGGCCAAAGGAAUGUUAAUGGCAAGAGCAAACUAGUUUACUUAAGUGCUAUCUCAACAUAAUGUGCAAAGUAAUAGGCAAGAUAUCAACAUUACACCAAAUGAGGGUGAUACCAUAUGAGUGCUCUCCUUUAUUAUCGAUACCCUUGGUAAAGUUGAGCAAAAAUGUUUGAACAACAGCCAUUCUUUUUCCACAUCCUCAGUUAAAAAUAUUUAAUCAAACCUUUUAAUUAAAAU